CCUAAUAAAGGCUUCUCCUCUGUCUUAUGUAGACAAAUCUUAGCAGCCUGCCCCCUGAAAGAAAAAAAAAAUCCCUCAAGGUUUCAAGCACCCCUGAACACUGACAGCCGUAUUACUGCUCCACAGCUGCAGGUAGUCCUUGAGUUUUGACAGCAAUUGGGAACAAGAUCUCCAUCACUAAAGCUGAAAAUCCUUUCUAUUAAGCAUUAAUAUGGAACACUUACCUCCAUUGACCAAUAUAGCUGUGCCUGUAUCCUGAACUACAAAUUCCUCAUUUGGGUUGUCAGAACAUCUAAACUCCAGCAUCUUUAUCAAGUAAUGGAUUCCUUCCUUAAGAAACUGAAGUGAAAAAUAAAUGGCAUUUAAGGUAGCCUUUUCAAUACAUAGUCCUCACAACAGAACAAUCUUCACGAAACACACAAACAAAUUUCCAUGCGAUAAAAGUUACAUUAUUUACUUUCUAUUUAUCAGUGGACUCAAAAAUAAGACUGUGGAAAUAAGAGCAAUGUACUUGAUGGAUGCUAUCAAUACAUAACUAAGCCAAGGGCAAGUAUUUGUAUCUUACAAGAGGCUGUUUUUUUUUGAUGCAGGUGUCCUGCAUAUGAAAUGUUCUCUGUGCUAGUUAUAGCUGAUGCUAAAUCUUGCUAGGUUUUGGCCAUAAGGACUUGUUUGAUCAGGCUUGAGAUGGAAUUUAAGCUACUGAUAUAAUCAUUAUGUUUGCCACCUUGAAUUGCUUGUAAUAGAUGGGAUAAAAAUCUAAUAAAAUAAAGAUUUUAACUUUUGUA